GGCCCGCGGCCGAUUAGCUGGUUGGUGGGGUAAAAGCUCACCAAGGCGACGAUCGGUAGCUGGUCUGAGAGGACGAUCAGCCACACUGGGAUUGAGAACGGCCCAGACUCCUACGGGGGGCAGCAGUGAGGAAUUUUCGGCAAUGGACGCAAGUCUGACCGAGCAACGCCGCGUGCAGGAGGAAGGUCUUCGGAUCGUAAACUGCUUUUCUCUGGGACGAGUAAGGACGGUACCAGAGGAACAAGC
rnacentral:rRNA from 1 species